GAUGAACGCUGGCGGCGUGCCUAAUACAUGCAAGUCGAGCGAAUGGAUUAAGAGCUUGCUCUUAUGAAGUUAGCGGCGGACGGGUGAGUAACACGUGGGUAACCUGCCCAUAAGACUGGGAUAACUCCGGGAAACCGGGGCUAAUACCGGAUAACAUUUUGAACCGCAUGGUUCGAAAUUGAAAGGCGGCUUCGGCUGUCACUUAUGGAUGGACCCGCGUCGCAUUAGCUAGUUGGUGAGGUAACGGUUCGCCAAGGCAACGAUGCGUAGCCGACCUGAGAGGGUGAUCGGCCACACUGGGACUGAGACACGGCCCAGACUCCUACGGGAGGCAGCAGUAGGGAAUCUUCCGCAAUGGACGAAAGUCUGACGGAGCAACGCCGCGUGAGUGAUGAAGGCUUUCGGGUCGUAAAACUCUGUUGUUAGGGAAGAACAAGUGCUAGUUGAAUAAGCUGGCACCUUGACGGUACCUAACCAGAAAGCCACGGCUAACUACGUGCCAGCAGCCGCCGUAA
rnacentral:rRNA from 1 species